rnacentral:lncRNA from 1 species
CUCCUUUAACUUUGCUUCUCCAAGAAAUAAAAAUGUUUUUUUUUUUUUUCAAUUGCAUUUUUUUAACAUACAAUUUUGAUGAUUUUUAACAAAAGGUAAAGGUUGUGAUUAUCAGAUGAUGGAUGACUAUGGUCGUCUCCUUCAUAUGAUGCUUCGCCCUCCUUCCCUUGAUUUGUUAGGUUUUGAAGACAAACAUAAAGUAUAUAACCAGUUGACAUACUUGUAAGAACUCGGUGGCGGCGGUUGUUUCCCAAACACCUGCAAUAACCUCGACCUUGAAGAAACUAAAAACAAAAAAAACAAAAAAUAAAAAAAAUUAAUUUCCACAAAAAUUGAUGCUUUACAUUGAAACAAACAUAGAAGUAGAGUAAAAAACCCACCUCACCUUCAAUUCGAUUACUAAUUAGUCGAGUGUGGAAGUCGACAAGUAUCCGA